AAUGUUUACCUACGUUCUGAGUUCAAAUUCCGCCGAAGACGACUUAGCCUUUCAUUCUUUCGGAGUCGAUAAAUUAAGUACCCGUGAAACACUGGGUUCGAUGUAAUGGACUAGUCCCUGCCCACAAAAUCUCAGGCUUUGUACUUUUUGUAGAAGC